CCUACGGGAGGCUGCAGUGGGGAAUAUUGCAUAAUGGGCGCAAGCCUGAUGCAGCCAUGCCGCGUGUGUGAAGAAGGCCUUCGGGUUGUAAAGCACUUUCAGCGGGGAGGAAGGCGGUGAGGUUAAUAACCUCAUCGAUUGACGUUACCCGCAGAAGAAGCACCGGCUAACUCCGUGCCAGCAGCUGCGGUAAUACGGAGGGUGCAAGCGUUAAUCGGAAUUACUGGGCGUAAAGCGCACGCAGGCGGUCUGUCAAGUCGGAUGUGAAAUCCCCGGGCUCAACCUGGGAACUGCAUUCGAAACUGGCAGGCUAGAGUCUUGUAGAGGGGGGUAGAAUUCCAGGUGUAGCGGUGAAAUGCGUAGAGAUCUGGAGGAAUACCGGUGGCGAAGGCGGCCCCCUGGACAAAGACUGACGCUCAGGUACGAAAGCGUGGGGAGCAAACAGGAUUAGAUACCCUGGUAGUC
rnacentral:rRNA from 1 species